UUCUAAAGAAUAUAUAGUAAUAUGGUACCUAAAUGUGGGAUUCUGUAACGCCCCAAAAAUGAAAACUCAAUAAAACAAGUGAGGACAAAUAACUGUAAUGCCCCAAAAUCUAAUAGUUGAUAAAUAAGGCAUUUACUAGAAUUAUGUGUGAAAUAACUUAACUAGGAUUAGUUAACCUAGUUUGUGUUUCUAUGUUAGUUACAAGAAGGAAAUAAAUAAAUUAUCAAAACUACAAGGGUUGAACUUGUACAUUUUAAUUAAAGUUUGGUUAAGUAGUGGAAGAUCACAAACAUCAGACAUAAGUCUGAUGUUGGUGUCGAUGCAAGCCAAGGGCCAAGAAGGGUUUCUCAUGAUGAUGAAAUGUUGAAGAAUUGAAGCAAAAUCCAGCCUUAAUUCUCUUGCAUGUGUAGAGAUUCUACAUCAAAAAGCUAUAUGAAACAUGUGUAUAGGGAUCAUGUCGAGAUGGAUGGAAGCAUAAAGGACUAACGGGUCAUGAGGACAUGAGGAAACGAGAGCGAAUAGGGAUGCAUAAGUGCAGGUUUAUGAAUAUCGGACUUUCGAAGUGUCGAUAUAGUAAUGAAAUGAUUGAGUGUUGGAAGAUAUUCGGGUUGAAGUAACUUAAGCGGUUAGAAUAUUCUAUGGACGUUUUAGUUUAUACAAUAUUUUAUGUUUGGUCGUCACCACCUACUAACAGGUUAGUUAUAUGAGAAUAUAUGUGAUACCCAUUUAAUUGGGAAAUCGAAUGCGUAAGAGAAAUGAGAGUAUGUACAUGAAUGGAAUUAAAAUGACGGUUUUAUAAGCAAACAAGUAUAGCGACUAACUUUUUAAAGCUUUGUUGUUGAAUGUAGGUAAACCCUCAAUUCAGGCGACUUGGAGAAUCGGAACGAGCGCGUGUUCAUGUUAUGUCAUACCAAACGCUUCCGCUAGCUUGUUCAAAUGUUUUUUUUUAGUCCAAAAUUUGUUGUAUUGGUUCUUAGUAGUAUUUUGUCGAAUGAAUCGUAGAAUUAUAACUAGUUUGAUUAUGUUUAAAACAGGGGAAUGCUCGUUUUAUGGACGGGUCAUGCCCAAUUUUUGUUAAAUUA